AAUACCAAACAAAAAUUUGCCCUAAAAUAUAAGCCAAAAAUACAAAAACAUGUGCCCUAAAAUAUACCAGCAAGCUUGCAGUCAACAUUUUCCCGCUCAUUAAAAUGUGUUUUCAGUGUGAUUUUUUUUAAAAAAUAUAUUUACAAAUAUAAUACAACUAAAUAUAGGCUAAUGAUAAACAAUAGGCAUCUUUCAGGCACUUUUCGCUUUGCGUCCCAGCAAAAGGCUGGACAAAUUGCUGUAGGGCAGCUCAAAGGCCAGCGAGAAAACGAUGGAGGCCAAAUAAACGAUGACCGCGAAGCCACAGCUGACCACGCACUGCAAAAUAAUAUAUGUGAAUAAUCAUUUUUAAUGGAAAUUU